rnacentral:rRNA from 1 species
CACGUAGGGGGCGAGCGUUGUCCGGAUUCAUUGGGCGUAAAGGGCUCGUAGGCGGUCUGUUGCGUCAGGAGUGAAACUCGGGGCUUAACCCCGAGCCUGCUUCCGAUACGGGUGGACUAGAGGUAGGUAGGGGAGAACGGAAUUCCUGGUGUAGCGGUGAAAUGCGUAGAUAUCGUAAGGAAGACCAGUGGCGAAGGCGGGUCUCUGGACAGUUCCUGACGCUGAGGCACGAAGGUCAGGGGAGCAAACGGG